rnacentral:misc_RNA from 1 species
UCAACCCCUCAAGCUCCCGGGCUUGGUGUUGGACUUUUAGGUGUAUGGAUGAUCUUGUCAUCUCACCGGUCCCAAAGGCAACGACGGCGUCGGUUGGACCCUCGGUACACUGAGCUUUUCAAGCACGUACUGGCUGCGGUUGACGGGCGCGAGUCUUUCUUUUAUUUCUUCAA